AGCAGCCGCGGUAAUUCCAGCUCCAAUAGCGUAUAUUAAAGUUGUUGCAGUUAAAAAGCUCGUAGUUGAAUUUCAGGCCUGGCUGGACGGUCCGCCCUUCGGGUGAGUACUGUCUGUGGUCGGGUCCUACCUUCUGGCGAAGCGUCAUGGCCUUAACCGGCCGUGGCGGGGAACCAGGACUUUUACUGUGAAAAAAUUAGAGUGUUCAAAGCAGGCAAAUCGCUUGGAUACAUUAGCAUGGAAUAAUGGAAUAGGACGAUGGUUCUAUUUGUUGGUUUCUAGGACCGUUGUAAUGAUUAAUAGGGAUAGUUGGGGGCAUUAGUAUUCAAUUGUCAGAGGUGAAAUUCUUGGAUUUAUUGAAGACUAACUACUGCGAAAGCAUCUGCCAAGGAUGUUUUCAUUAAUCAAGAACGAAAGUUAGGGGAUCGAAGACGAUCAGAUACCGUCGUAGUCUUAACCAUAAACUAUGCCGACUAGGAAUCGGGCGAUGUUGACAAAAAUGACGCGCUCGGCACCUCAU
rnacentral:rRNA from 1 species